CGGAGGCAGCAGUGAGGAAUAUUGCGCAAUGGGGGAAACCCUGACGCAGCGACGCCGCGUGAGUGAGGAAGGCCUUCGGGUCGUAAAGCUCUGUCAAAGGGAAAGAAGUGCAUGAUGGUUAAUACCUGUCAUGUUUGACGGUACCCUUAAAGGAAGCACCGGCUAACUCCGUGCCAGCAGCCGCGGUAAUACGGAGGGUGCAAGCGUUGUUCGGAAUCACUGGGCGUAAAGGGCGCGUAGGCGGUUUGAUAAGUCAGAUGUGAAAGCCCACGGCUUAACUGUGGAAGUGCAUUUGAAACUGUCAGACUUGAGUACCAGAGGGGAAAGUGGAAUUCCCGGUGUAGAGGUGAAAUUCGUAGAUAUCGGGAGGAAUACCGGUGGCGAAGGCGACUUUCUGGCUGGAUACUGACGCCGAGGCGCGAAAGCGUGGGGAGCAAACAGGAUUAGAUACCCUUGUAGUCAU
rnacentral:rRNA from 1 species